UUGGUCAAUACAUUCCGGUUUCCUCCUAACAAGGAGAUAUUUUUUCACAGUAUUAUUCAACUUGAUCUUGAUAUCCUACGUGGAUAACUGUGGGUAAUUCUAGAGCUAAUACAUGCACCAAAGCUCCGAAUUUUUGACGAGCGCAUCUAUUAGAUUAAAACCAAUCGGGUUUCGGCCCGUUUGUUGGUGACUCUGAAUAACUAUGGCUGAUCGCAUGGUCACGAACCGGCGACGUGUCUAUCAAGUGUCUGCCUUAUCAACUUUCGAUGGUAGUUUAUGUGCCUACCAUGGUUGUAACGGGUAACGGAGAAUAAGGGUUCGACUCCGGAGAGGGAGCCUGAGAAACGGCUACCACAUCCAAGGAAGGCAGCAGGCGCGCAAAUUACCCACUCUCGGCAUGAGGAGGUAGUGACGAAAAAUAACGAGACCGUUCUCUAUGAGGCCGGUUAUCGGAAUGGGUACAAUUUAAACCCGUUAACGAGGAUCUAUGAGAGGGCAAGUCUGGUGCCAGCAGCCGCGGUAAUUCCAGCUCUCAAAGUGUAUAUCGUCAUUGCUGCGGUUAAAAAGCUCGUAGUUGGAUCUGCGCCUCAGGACCUGGUCCGCCCACUGGGUGAGAACUGGGCUCCUGGGCUAGUUCUGCUGGUUUUCCCUACGUUGCCUUCAUCGGUAGCGUAGGGUGGCUAGCGAGUUUACUUUGAAAAAAUUAGAGUGCUUCACGCGGGCUUAUGUCUGAAUACUCGUGCAUGGAAUAAUAGAAUAGGAUCUCGGCUCUAUUUUGUUGGUUUUCUGAUCUGAGAUAAUGGUUAAGAGGGACGGACGGGGGCAUUCGUAUCGCUGCGUGAGAGGUGAAAUUCUUGGACCGUAGCGAGACGUCCGACUGCGAAAGCAUUUGCCAAGAAUGUCUUCAUUAAUCAAGAACGAAUACCCUGUGGUUCGAAGGCUGAAAAAACCCCCCCACAAAAGGUGUUU
rnacentral:rRNA from 1 species